rnacentral:rRNA from 1 species
AAUCAUUUGUCUUUUAAAUGAAGACUCGUAUGAACGGCAAAACCUUUUCCAACUGUCUCCCCUCCCAUCCUUUCAAAUUUCUUCCUGUGUGAAGAAGCACAGAUACAUUAGAAAGACGAGAAGACCCUGUCGAGCUUUAACCACUAAGUGGGCCCUAUUUUUUUCAGGCACCACUAAAAGGUUUUGGUUGGGGCAACCAUGGAGAAAAAAGAUCCUCCAGAGCAAAUAGAAGAAAGCUUUUCACUAUUUUUACUACUGAGAACCAGGAACUGGUAUUCGGAAAAAGUUACCGCAGGGAUAACAGCGUCAUCUCCUCUGAGAGUCCUUAUUGACGAGGAGGUUUGCGACCUCGAUGUUGGAUUGGGGCCCCCUUAGGGUGCAGAAGCUCUAAACGGUUAGACUGUUCGUCUAUUAAAGCCCUACAUGAUCUGAGUUCAAACCGGAG